rnacentral:rRNA from 1 species
CCGGCGACCGGCGCACGGGUGAGUAACACGUAUGGAACCUGCCCGCAGCAGGGGGAUAAGCGGAAGAAAUUCCGUCUAAUACCGCGUAACAACGUUGGGAGGCAUCUCCCGAUGUUUAAAGAUUUAUCGGCUGCGGAUGGCCAUGCGGCGCAUUAGCUAGUCGGCGGGGUAACGGCCCACCGAGGCGACGACGCGUAGGGGUUCUGAGAGGAAGGUCCCCCACACUGGUACUGAGACACGGACCAGACUCCUACGGAAGGCAGCAG